AAAAUCCUGUGAUGAUCUGCAGAGUUAUUUCCUACAUUGUUUGACUAUGUUACUGUGAUAAACAUCUCGAACCAUUCUGAGGCUACU